rnacentral:rRNA from 1 species
UACGGAGGAUGCAAGCGUUAUCCGGAAUGAUUGGGCGUAAAGCGUCCGCAGGUGGCUGUGUAAGUCUGCUGUCAAAGAGCAAAGCUCAACUUUGUAAAGGCAGUGGAAACUACACGGCUAGAGUGCGUUCGGGGCAGAGGGAAGUUCCUGGUGUAGCGGUGAAAUGCGUAGAGAUCAGGAAGAACACCGGUGGCGAAGGCGCUCUGCUAGGCCGCAACUGACACUGAGGGACGAAAGCUAGGGGAGCGAAUGGG